CGAGUGGCGGACGGGUGAGUAACGCGUAGGAAUCUACCCAAUAGCGGGGGAUAGCCCGGGGAAACUCGGAUUAAUACCGCAUACGCCCCACGGGGGAAAGGCCGGGAUCUUCGGACCGGUCACUAUUGGAUGAGCCUGCGUAAGAUUAGCUAGUUGGUAGGGUAAAGGCCUACCAAGGCGACGAUCUUUAGCUGGUCUGAGAGGAUGAUCAGCCACACUGGGACUGAGAUACGGCCCAGACUCC
rnacentral:rRNA from 1 species